AACGCGUACGAGAAAUUGUUCACUCACUCGACUAAGUGCAAAGUGACCGAGCAGUCGUGUCGCGAUAUCGCCUCACAUCGUCACCCGUCCAACAAGUUAGUGAGUUGAGCUUCUUGUGUGUGUGGCGCUGAAUUGAACGAAACAGUGUUACAUAAGGAAAAGUAAGAAAGUUUUAACCGAAAUAAAAUAGAGCUGAAAGCUAUCAGUUCAACCUGCGCACUUAAGGUGACAAAAAGAGCUUGCAAAUUUUUGCCUGCGUGUGAGUGUGUACGAGUGAGUGUAAGCGCAACCGAAAGCAAUCGAAAAAAAAGAAAGCAAAUACAACAACUUCCGCCCAAAAAGGGCUAUAGUGUAAAGCAGUUUGGUAAUUGAUAAAACCUGCAUAAAAACCUCAUAACCAACAUAAACCCCCCCCCCCGUGUCCCGUGUGUGCGUGCGUGUGUGUGAGUGAGCGUGUGCAUAUCUCUGUGUAACAGUGUGCGCGAAAGCUAUCAACCAUCCUUUGCCGAAACCGAAAAGGAUAAUAAAGUGGGAAUAAUCUCCUAAGCAACAACGAUGGCGGAAGAUCUGCGAGACCGUAACGAUCCGGAGCUGAAAUAUCUGUCGGUGGAGCGAAAUUCGUUCAAUGAUCCGGCUACGCAGGCCGAGUGGACACAAAAGCGGUUAGUUUGGGUACCGCAUGAAUCACAGGGUUUCGUCGCUGCCAGUAUCAAAGGCGAGCGUGGCGAUGAGGUGGAGGUCGAGCUGGCCGAAACCGGCAAGCGCGUGCUGGUACUUAAGGAUGACAUCCAGAAAAUGAACCCGCCCAAAUUCGACAAAGUCGAAGAUAUGGCCGAGCUGACGUGCCUGAACGAAGCCUCUGUCCUGCACAACAUCAAGGACCGAUACUACUCCGGUUUGAUAUAUACAUACUCGGGUCUGUUCUGCGUAGUGGUGAACCCGUACAAGAAGCUGCCUAUCUACACCGAGAAGAUCAUGGAGAAAUACAAAGGCAUCAAACGGCACGAAGUGCCACCACACGUAUUCGCGAUCACAGACACCGCCUAUAGAUCGAUGCUUCAAGAUCGAGAGGAUCAAUCAAUUCUUUGCACUGGCGAGUCGGGCGCGGGUAAAACCGAGAACACAAAGAAAGUUAUCCAGUAUUUAGCGUACGUCGCUGCAUCGAAACCGAAGGGAUCCGUCGCGACACCAACGCCAGCACUUAUCAUCGGUGGUCACCACACGAGUUUAUCGGGCGAGUUGGAGCAGCAGCUGCUUCAGGCAAAUCCCAUUCUGGAAGCGUUCGGUAAUGCCAAGACGGUGAAAAAUGACAAUUCGUCUCGUUUCGGCAAAUUUAUUCGGAUAAACUUUGACGCUUCGGGUUACAUUUCCGGAGCUAACAUCGAGACGUAUCUGCUGGAGAAGUCACGUGCCAUUCGCCAGGCGAAAGAUGAGCGUACAUUCCACAUCUUCUACCAGCUGCUGGCCGGCGCAUCGCCCGAACAACGCGAGCGCUUCAUCCUUGACGACGUUAAGACAUAUCCAUUUUUGUCCAACGGUGGGCUGCCGGUACCGGGAGUGGAUGAUUAUGCCGAAUUCCAGGCCACAGUGAAGAGCAUGAACAUUAUGGGCAUGACAGCGGAGGACUUUAAUUCGAUCUUCCGCAUUGUGAGUGCGGUGCUGCUGUUCGGCUCGAUGACGUUCAAGCAGGAGCGCAAUUCGGACCAAGCCACGCUGCCUGACAAUACGGUGGCGCAGAAAAUAGCGCAUCUGCUUGGCCUGAGCGUGACGGACAUGACGAAGGCAUUCCUGACGCCCCGUAUCAAGGUUGGGCGAGACUUUGUGACCAAGGCGCAGACGCGGGAGCAGGUAGAGUUCGCCGUGGAAGCGAUCGCUAAGGCAUGCUACGAGAAGAUGUUCAAGUGGCUGGUAAAUCGGAUAAAUCGAUCACUCGAUCGUACCAAGCGUCAGGGUGCCUCGUUCAUCGGUAUUCUCGAUAUGGCUGGUUUUGAAAUAUUCGAACUGAACUCGUUCGAGCAGCUGUGCAUUAACUACACGAACGAAAAGCUCCAGCAACUUUUCAACCACACCAUGUUCAUCCUCGAACAGGAAGAAUAUCAGCGUGAAGGCAUCGAGUGGAAGUUCAUCGAUUUCGGGCUCGACCUGCAGCCAACGAUUGAUCUGAUCGAUAAACCGGGCGGCAUUAUGGCUUUGUUGGAUGAGGAGUGCUGGUUCCCAAAGGCAACCGACAAAUCGUUUGUGGAGAAGCUGGCCGCCGCUCAUUCCAUGCAUCCGAAGUUCAUGAAGACGGACUUUAGAGGUGUGGCGGACUUUGCUGUCGUUCACUACGCGGGCAAAGUGGAUUACUCGGCGACAAAAUGGUUGAUGAAAAAUAUGGACCCACUGAACGAAAACGUGGUGUCUUUGCUGCAAGCAUCGCAGGAUCCAUUUGUGGUGCAGAUUUGGAAGGACGCUGAGAUUGUCGGUAUGGCACAGCAGGCUCUCACCGACACCCAGUUCGGUGCUCGAACACGCAAAGGUAUGUUCCGUACCGUUUCGCAUCUGUACAAGGAGCAGCUCGCGAAGCUUAUGGAUACGCUGCGCAACACGAACCCGAAUUUUGUCCGCUGCAUAAUCCCGAACCACGAAAAGCGUGCGGGAAAAAUUGAUGCACCGCUUGUGUUGGAUCAAUUGCGCUGCAACGGUGUGCUCGAGGGAAUCCGUAUCUGCAGGCAGGGCUUCCCUAAUCGCAUUCCGUUCCAAGAGUUCCGACAACGGUACGAACUACUUACGCCUAACGUCAUUCCUAAAGGUUUUAUGGAUGGCAAACGGGCUUGCGAGCAGAUGAUCAAAUCGUUGGAACUGGACAGUAAUUUGUAUCGCAUCGGCCAGUCGAAGAUCUUCUUCCGUGCGGGUGUGUUAGCUCAUCUCGAGGAGGAACGUGACUAUAAGAUUACGGACUUGAUCGUCAACUUCCAAGCGUUCUGUCGCGGUUUCCUUGCUCGCCGUAAUUAUCAAAAACGGCUACAACAGCUAAAUGCGAUUCGUAUUAUUCAGCGCAACUGUGCCGCUUAUCUGAAGUUGCGCAACUGGCAGUGGUGGCGUCUGUACACGAAAGUGAAACCGUUGCUCGAGGUAACCAAGCAAGAGGAGAAGCUGGUGCAAAAGGAAGAUGAGCUACGUCAAAUACGCGACAAGCUUGAGAACUUGUCGAAGAAUUCUCAGGAGUAUGAGAAGAAAUAUCAACAGGCGAUGGAGGAGAAGACACAUCUAGCCGAACAACUGCAAGCGGAAAUAGAGCUGUGUGCCGAAGCGGAAGAAGGACGUGCUCGUCUAGUUGCUCGUAAGCAGGAGCUUGAAGAACUGAUGCAGGACCUCGAAUCGCGCAUCGAAGAAGAGGAGGAACGUGUGAACGCACUGACAAGCGAAAAGAAGAAACUUCAAAUCAACAUUCAGGACCUGGAAGAGCAGCUAGAGGAGGAGGAAGCCGCGCGUCAGAAGCUUCAGCUCGAGAAGGUACAACUCGAUGCAAAGUUGAAGAAAAUGGAAGAAGACGUAGCAUUGAUUGAAGACCAGAAUCACAAACUGGUGAAGGAGAAGAAACUGCUAGAGGAACGUGCCAACGAUCUGUCUCAAACGCUUGCUGAAGAAGAAGAGAAAGCGAAACAUCUUGCCAAGCUGAAGGUGAAACACGAGUCGACGAUCGCAGAGCUUGAGGAGCGCCUUUUGAAGGAUCACCAGCAGCGCCAGGAAGCGGAUCGCUCGAAGCGAAAGAUUGAAACGGAAGUAGCCGAUUUGAAGGAGCAGAUCAAUGAACGACGCAUGCAGAUCGAGGAGAUGCAGCAGCAGCUGGUGAAACGCGAAGAAGAACUCGCACAGACACUUGUGCGCAUCGACGAAGAGUCGGCAGCGAAGGCGGCGGCUCAGAAAACACAGCGCGAACUCGAAUCGCAACUGGCCGAAAUCCAGGAAGAUCUGGAAGCCGAGAAGCUUGCUCGUUCCAAGGCAGAAAAGCAAAAGCGUGAUCUUAACGAAGAACUUGAAGCUCUGAAGAACGAACUGUUGGAUUCGCUGGACACCACAGCUGCACAACAAGAACUGCGAUCGAAACGGGAACAAGAGGUAGCCACAUUAAAGAAGACGCUGGAAGAUGAGUCUGCCAACCAUGAAUCAUCCUUGAUGGACAUGCGUCAUAAGCAUGCGCAAGAGAUUUCUUCCAUUAACGAGCAGCUGGAGAAUCUGAAAAAAAUGAAGGGUGGCUUGGAGAAGAGCAAACAGCAGCUUGAGGCAGAAAAUGCCGAUCUUGCCACCGAACUGCGCAACGUAAACCAAUCGCGCCAGGAGAACGAUCGUCGGCGUAAACAAGCAGAAACACAGAUCGCCGAGUUGCAGGUAAAACUGGCUGAAGUCGAUCGUGUUCGUGUCGAGCUCCAGGACAAGGUGACAAAACUCCAACAAGAAACAGAAAACAUCACUCAACAGCUUGACGAAGCCGAAUUGAAAGCAUCGGCAGCAAUCAAGAGCGCUGGCAAUCUAGAAAGUCAGUUGACCGAAGCUCAGCAGUUGCUGGAGGAAGAAACGCGUCAAAAACUUGGUUUGAGCUCCAAGUUACGUCAAAUCGAAUCAGAGAAGGAGGCGCUCCAAGAACAACUAGAAGAGGAUGAAGAAGCAAAGACUAACUACGAAAAGAAGCUGGCCGAGCUGAAUUUUACCAUUCAGGAGCUCAAGAAACGCUCGGAGGAGGACUCGGACAUUGCCAAGGAACUGGAGGAAUCGAAGAAGAAAAUGAACAAAGAUAUUGAAACGCUUCAGCGCCAGAUCCAGGAAUUGCAGGCGGCCAACGAUCGCUUGGAUAAGAGCAAAAAGAAGAUCCAGUCUGAGCUUGAGGAUGCGACCAUCGAGCUAGAAACUCAGCGUACCAAGGUGUUGGAGCUGGAAAAGAAACAGAAGAACUUCGACAAAGUGUUGGCCGAAGAGAAGGCUAUCGGCGAACAAGUGGCCCAGGAACGUGACGCUGCUGAGCGCGAGGCAAGAGAGAAAGAAACGAAGGUUCUCUCACUAUCCCGCGAGCUUGACGAAGCAUUCGAGAAGAUUGACGAGCUGGAAACGAAGCGCAAGGGACUGCAGAAUGAAUUGGACGAGCUGGCAAAUACACAGGGAACAGCCGACAAAAAUGUGCAUGAGCUAGAAAAGGCAAAGCGGGCCCUAGAAAGUCAAUUGGCGGAACUGAAGGCACAAAAUGAGGAGCUCGAGGACGAUCUACAACUGACCGAAGAUGCCAAGCUGCGGUUAGAGGUAAACAUGCAAGCCCUGCGCGCACAGUUCGAACGUGACAUUCAGGCAAAGGAGGAACAAUCGGAAGAGAAGCGACGCGGAUUGGUCAAAGCGUUGCGGGAUCUCGAAGCCGAGCUCGACGAAGAACGCAAACAGCGUGCCGCUGCCGUGGCAGCGAAGAAAAAGCUCGAGGGUGACAUAAAGGACAUGGAGGCGACGCUCGAGAUGAACAACAAGGUGAAGGAGGACGCACUGAAGCAGGCAAAGAAGCUGCAGGCACAAAUUAAAGACGCCAUCCGUGACGCCGAGGAAGCUAAGGCGGCUAAGGAGGAGUUAGCUGCCAUUAGUAAGGAGUCUGAGCGCAAGGUGAAAACACUCGAGGCGGACGUAAUGCAACUGUCCGAAGAUCUGUCCAGUUCGGAACGGGCACGCCGUGCUGCGGAGGGCGAGCGUGACGAGCUGCUCGAGGAAAUCAAUUCCAACUCCAACAAGGGCUCGCUAAUGAUCGACGAAAAGCGACGCCUUGAAGCACGCAUUGCCGCCCUCGAGGAAGAACUCGAAGAAGAACAAUCCAACCUCGAGCUCAUGGUGGAUAGAAACCGCAAGGCUCAGCUUACGAUCGAACAGCUGACGACUGAGCUGGCUACGGAAAAGUCGAACGCACAGAACAACGAAGCUCUCAAGUGUGGACUCGAACGGCUUAACAAAGAGCUUAAGGCGAAACUGUCCGAACAGGAGACGGCACUCCGCACGAAGCUGAAGGCAGCCACGGCCGCUUCCGAGGCCAAGAAUAUGAAUCUGGAGAAACAGCUCGAAAACGAAACGAAGGAGCGGCUGGCCGUGCAAAAGGCAAACCGCAAGCUCGAGAAACGCAUCAAGGAGCUGACGAUGAACAUCGAGGACGAGCGACGACAUGCCGAUCAGUUUAAGGAGCAAAUAGAAAAGGCCAACAAUCGCAUGAAAACGCUCAAGCGCAACCUCGACGAAGCGGAAGAAGAAAUCCAGAAAGAGAAGACACUGAAACGAAAGGCCCAGAGGGAAUGCGAAGAUAUGCUCGAAAGUCACGAAGCACUAUCGCGGGAAGUGAAUGCACUCAAGUCGAAACUGAGCAUACACAAAGACUCGAAAAAGUAAUCAAACCUAACUCAAGGAGACGGAUGCGCAUUUUUUAGCGUCGUUCAAUAAUAUGUACAGUAGAGGACGAUUACGUAGGUGUAUAGCUACGAAAUAGGGUGAUAGUUAAAUUCUUGUUCCAUGUUAUGCUGUGUCAUGUUAUUGAAAAGAAGGCUGAUGGAUGGAAAGGUGGGGUGAAUGUGUGUAGGUUGGAAGCAAACACACUUUUCACGUAAUUAACGGAUGUGAUAAGAGUAAACCUCAACUAUCUCUAAAGUAAAUGCGUUAAAGACGAGGUGGUGCAAUGGGCAGUUUGAGCUCGUCCCGAUUGACACCGAAGCGCGAGAAUGAUUCGAUCUCGGUACAGGAUGAAUCGCUCGAUGGCGAAGAUAACAGCAACUGACGAAAGACGUCUUCCAAUGGCAAGCAGCAGCAGCAGUAUCAGUCACAACACCAACAACUCUACCACCAUUCCGACAACCUUUACUGAGAAAUGAACAUGAACAGGUGGCAAUAAUGCAUAAAUAGGUUUACCAGCAAUAAAGGGACGAAUGAGCAAACAAACCCCCUUGGGGGCGGGUCGUACAUACAUACGCACGUGCACACAAUAUAAGAUCAGACGAAAUGCAACCAGUGACCAACUGUGCGAAGUCAAAUCGAAAAUGCAUUUACCCAUUUCUAUCAACACAUUUGCUAUCAUCGACCAUGAUAAAAGGGCUUCGAUUGCUGGAUGAAGGAAAUGUGUACAUGUACACAUAUAUGUGUGUGUGUGAGAGAGAAAGAGAGAGAGUUACAAAGCGAAUGUUUUUUUUCUAUCUGCCUUACAUUGUAUUGAUUGUUUGAUGAAAUCAAGUUGAUGUUUUUAUGUAAAAGCGCAACACUAUCGAUGCGUUUAUGUUCACAUUCCUGUUAUUUUUUAAGAAACGAAAAGGGCGAGAUGAGCAUUGGAUAUAACAGCACUAUGGUUUCCAAUGAUCUGCAGAAUGAUUUUAAAGAAAAUGCAGUCUCUUUUCCCUGCUACACCCUUGUAAAGUGUGCGCAGGAAGCUUAGAUGGACAACGUUCAAUUGAUCACUAGAAAUAAACUAAUCGCAACUAGGAAAUGACAGUGCUGCUGGAACCCCGAUAACGAAGAGAAUGAAAUGACUAUGGUGAAUGUAUUUCUGUGUGAGAGUGUACCCUUAGCAAAGUGCCAUGUUUAAUAACAAUCAAAUCUAGAUAGAUCGAACGAAGGAAGCAAUCUGAAAACGAAAGGGGUUUCUUUCAUGCGCGAGACACCAGCAUAGGAAAGGCCCAACUUAAAACGAAUUUGUGCAAGGCGGUAUGCCUGUCAUUCUCCUGCGAGGAACAUCCCCAACCUGGUCGUUCUGAAUCCGUGCGAACGUCAUCAUCCCGUCCCGUUUUGUGAGUUUUACCUUUUUUUUUGUUUUUUUUUGUUUGUUCUCAUCGUCCUUAUCUGUGCGUCAAAUUGUGUAUGUUUUUUUUUUUUAUCUGUGAGAUGCAAUACCAGUUGCUCAGAAGAUGAUUGUCGGGAAAUUUUCUAUGUACUUGUUUGUUCGUGUGUAACGAUCGCCAUCGUCUUGUAUUUUGUUGUAUUUGUUAGUUGUGUCCAUCGUUGUGUGCGAAUUCAAUCAUAUCGGAAUUAUCGGUUAGCGCAAAAUGUGGGUACUAGAAGAGGAUCAUCUAAGAAGGUUCGUCGUACUGUUUAUUGUAAAGGAGGGAAUAAGAGCAAAAAAAGAGAUAGAGAAAACGAGAAAAUGUGAAAGAAGCAGCAACAUUUUUUUUUGGGUUUUUAUUUCGUAUCCUCUGAUUUUGAUUAUUAUUUAAUGAUUUUUAAUUCUUUCUAUUUCGUCCUUUAUUUAACUGUGUAUUAUUACUUUUAUUAUUAUGAUUAUUAUUACUAUUAUACCUUAAAACCGACUCGCAGCCGGCACCGAUGCCGCCGCAAUCGAAGCAAGCUUUGGAAACGAAUCGAAAUCCCUGUAGCGCGAAAGAGAAAAAGGGAAAGAGAUAGAGGGGAGGGUAAACUUCAUCUAGAGGGGUGGUUCACCCCUCAGCAGGAAGCACCUUUUCUAUUACACUGAAUGAAACUGAUCAUUUUUUGAGCAAAUAAGAAGAAAAUUGAAUAACUCAAAACACAACACUAGACCUCCUCACGCGCCUUCACAUCCCUUGCUCCUACACUCCCCUCCAUCCCCUGUUACAUACAUUUAAUAAGCCCCAUGUACUUUUUUAUAGGAGAUGAUAAAUCGGACACAGCUGUGAAGAGCAGCAAAUGAUUAAAAUUGAUAAUAAAAUAUCGUUUAAAUAUUGAAAAAAAAAAAAA